GACGACGCGUGGCGGCGUGGAUUAGGCAUGCAAGUCGAACGGUAUCAUCCUUUCGGGGGUGAAGAGAGUGGCGAACUGGUGAGUAACACGUAGGUUAUCUACCCUCAAGACGGGGACAACCCAGGGAAACUUGGGCUAAUACCGGAUGUGAGCAACUUUUAGUUGUUUGAAAGGUGGCGUAAGCUGUCGCUUGGGGAUGAGCCUGCGUCCUAUUAGUUAGUUGGUGAGGUAACGGCUCACCUAGGCAAUGAUAGGUAGGCGGCCUUAACGGGUGGUCGCCCACACUGGGAUUGAGAUACGGCCCAGACUCCUACGGGAGGCAGCAGUCGAGAAUAGUCUACAAUGGUCGGAAGACUGAUAGUGCGACGCCGCGUGAACGAUGAAUCCCUUCGGGGUGUAAAGUUCUUUUAUAUGUGAGCAGUGCUUCUUAUAUUAACAGUAUGGGGAGAGAGAUAUUAGCAUAUGAAUAAGCAACGGCUAACUCCGUG
rnacentral:rRNA from 1 species